CACAGCUCCUAUCCCAGCCUCGGAUGCGUCCACCUCCACUAUGAAAGCCAAAGAGGGAUCCGGAUUGGCCAGCACGGGAGACGAUGUAAACAGAGCACUCAGGUGACCAAAAGCCCUGUCCGCCUCAGCCGACCACUGCAAACGUACCGGGCCUCCCUUCAGCAGUGAGGAAAUGGGAGCCACUACCUGACCAAAACACCGGCUAAACCUCCUGUAGUAGUUGGCAAACCCUAAAAACCACUGCACCUCCUUUAGCGUGGUGGGAGUCGGCCAUUUACGCACGGCUGAAAUGCGGUCUCUCUCCAUCUCCACCCCUGAGGUGGAAAUGCGGUACCCUAGGAAGGAGACGGAUUGCUAAAAGAACAGGCACUUCUCAGCCUUGACGUACAGGUCACGCUCCAACAGGCGACCAAGCACGCUGCGCACCAGGGACACAUGCUUGGCGCGUGUAGCGGAGUAUAUCAGAAUGUCAUCAAUAUACACCACUACACCCUGCCCGUGCACGUCCCUGAAAAUCUCGUCUACAAAGGCUUGGAAGACUGAUGGCGCAUUCAUCAACCCGUACGGUAUGACGAGGUACUCAUACUGCCCUGAGGUGGUACUGAAAGCCGUCUUCCACUCGUCUCCCUCCCGGAUACGCACCAGGUUGUAAGCGCUCCUGAGAUCUAGUUUGGUGAAGAAGCGGGGAUGCAGGGAUUCAGUGACAUAUGUUUCCAUAGCUACCGUCUCCGCCUGUGACAGGGGAUACACGUGACUCCUGGGAAGUGCGGCGUAAACCAGGAGAUUUAUGGCACAAUCCCCCCGACGAUGAGGUGGUAAUUGAGUCGCCCUCUUUUUAGAGAAGGCGAGAGCCAAGUCUGAAUAUUCGGGAGGAAUGCACACGGUGGAAACUUGGUCUGAACUUUCCACUGUAGGAGCAUCAACGGAAACUCCUAAAUUCCUCCCCGAGCACUCUCGCGACCACCCCGUGAGAGUCCUCUGUUGCCAAGAAAUAGUGGGGUCAUGAAAAGCUAACCAGGGUAGGCCCAGCACCACGGGAAACGCAGGAUUGUCAAUAAGGAAGAGACUAAUUCAUGCGUCACCAUGCCCAGAGGAGCGGUGGCCUCCCUAAUCAACCCUGACCCUAAUUGUCGACUCUCUAAGGCGUGAACGGGGAAGGGCGCAGCCCCGAGAACAAUGGGGAUCCCUAAACUAUGGGCGAACAAUCUAUCUAUAAAAUUCACAGCCGUGCCUGAAUCGACAAGCGCCUUAUGCUGGGAAUGUGGAGAAACUUAGAAAAAUAACAUACAAAAACAUAUGUGCAACAGAGGGCUCCCAGGCUUACCUGGGGUGACGCCAGAGUGCCCUGCUUGCUGCCUCAAUCCCCAGAGGAACUGACCGGCAGUGUGACCUCUGCGGCCACAGAUGGCGCACGAGCUGGAACCUCCUCUGGUCUCCCUGCGCACCACACCUCCAAGCUCCAUGGGUAUCUGAGAGGUGGUGUGGGGGGAUGGAACCGACAGAACCCGAUCUUGACGUCCGCGGGUAGCCAGCAGGUUAUCCAGCCGGAUGGACAGGUCCACCAGCUGGUCGAAGGUGAGGGUGGUGUCUCUGCAGGCCAACUCCCGACGGACGUCCGCGCAAACUGCAAUGAUAAUGGUCGAUCAGGACCCUGUCGUUCCAUCCUGCGCCGGUGGCCAGGGUCCGAAACUCCAGGGUGAACUUCUGGGCGCUCCUCGUUCCCUGCCUCAGAUGGAAGAGGCGGACACUCGCCGCUCUACCAUCAGGCAGGUGGUCGAAGACUGCGAACUCCACGAAAUGGUCCAAAGCCGCAUCUCCCUCUCCCCACACGGCCGACUGCCGUUCGCCGCCCGAACAAGGAGAGGAGCCGACUUCGGGGGAGUCGUGAUACAAUUUUUUUGAGGAAGUGACAUGUAUAGGGGAGGCAAUCAAUGAUGUGAUAGAGUCCAGGUGAGUUCAAUGAAGCACUGGUGCGCUUAACGAUGGUGACAGGUGCGUAAUGAUGAGCAGCCUGGCGACCUCGAGCGCCAGAGAGGGGGAGUGGGAGCAGAUGUGACACCAAGUCCAUAUUAUGGCAAGAUCAGCUCAAAUAAGCAAAGAGGAAUGACAGUCCAUCAUUACUUUAAGACAUGAGGGUCAUCAAUACGGAAAAUGUCAAGAAUGUCAAGUGCAUUCGCAAAAACCAUCAUGCGCCAUGAUGAAACUGUCUUUCAUGAAGAUCACCACAGGAAAGGAAGAUGUCUUCACAAUUAUUCUACAAUGUAGAAAAUCGUAAAAAUAAAGAAAAACCUUGAAUGUCUAGGUGUGUCCAAGCUUUUGACAGGGAGAUAGGGGAAUGUUUCAGAUCUAUAAUCAAUGCAAAGCCAAAGGAAAGCCAUUCUGCGACUAGUUCCAUCUGGUCUGAUCCAUCUGGAGACGAUAGACAUCACAGCGCCUUACAGUCAGAUGCCGAGCAGUGAUGCAACCGGUCAGAAUGCUUUUGAUGGUGCAGCUGUAGAACUUUUUGAGGAUCUGGGGACCCAUGCCAAAUCUUUUCAGUCUCCUGAGGGGGAAAAGGUUUUGUCGUGCCCUCUUCACAACUGUCUUG
ensembl:lncRNA